UGGGUUCGAAAAUGCAGCGGACCGCAAGGCGUCGCGCGGCUGGAUGAGCCCAUGUCGGAUUAGCUAGUUGGCGGGGUAAAGGCCCACCAAGGCGACGAUCCGUAGCUGGUCUGAGAGGAUGAUCAGCCACACUGGAACUGAGACACGGUCCAGACUCCUACGGGAGGCAGCAGUGGGGAAUAUUGGACAAUGGGCGCAAGCCUGAUCCAGCAAUGCCGCGUGGGUGAAGAAGGCCUUCGGGUUGUAAAGCCCUUUUGUACGGGAAGAAAAGCUUCCGGUUAAUACCCGGAGGUCAUGACGGUACCGUAAGAAUAAGCACCGGCUAACUUCGUGCCAGCAGCCGCGGUAAU
rnacentral:rRNA from 1 species